UACAACUUCCUGCAAUCGGCCCCUCAUUUUUGACUUUCAGUAUACACAACCCAGAAAAAGUCUUCCAUUCUUUCUCCUUUAUCCACUCACCUUUGAUCAUCGUACGUACAAGAGUUCACCAACUGAGCAGAACCCAAUCAUCACUAUAUCUCCGACGUUUCCACCGGCGGCGGCACCGGAAAGUAAACGGUACAGUCUCCAAUAUCGGAUGAAUUUUGGUGCCGAAUUUUUUAAAUUGUUUUGAAGUUUGUCACUGAUUUUGCGAACCAGAGACACGAGGAAGGUGUUUGAUGUUACAGUUAAGUUCACUGUUGUUGUUGCCAAAUUCUUUGAUUUUAAUUCAAACCUAAUUCUUGUUUCCUUUUCGGUUACAGUCCUAAUUCCCCGUAUUUGCUUAAAAGAGACAGAGAGAGAGAGAGGGGACGGAGUGAUUCUCCAUUACUUAUUAGUUUGUUCAACGGCUCUGAAUUUCUGCAGAGCAUAAUCGCAAAUCGGAGCUAUUUCUCUAUCUCCGAUGUGCAGCGGAAUCGAUAUGGACGCCCAUAAUAAGAACGACGGCGGCGGGUGGUGCUCCCCCUGCCCCGACCUCCCGCCGCUUUUUGUUAUUUUCAUCUCCCUCCAGA
rnacentral:lncRNA from 1 species